UUUUGACAGCAGAGCAAUCUGCUUUGGCUGUCUGAUUAUUUGAAUUAAUGAGAAUCGAGCUUUUAUCCAAAAAAAAAAAUUGUAGGUGAGGAAGUGAACUUUAAUUUAACUGCAACAUAGGAGCCACAACGUAAUCUUUCCACCAAAUUGAAGCUUAGGGUUGCUAAAUCUGCUCCUUGUUUAUUGUACAAAGUUUAAGUGGCUGCUUUCUAUCAACAAAACAAUUUUGACCACAUUUUUAUCACUCUGACAGUUUUUGGGUAAUCAAAUUUUAGAGAAUGUUGUAGUGUCCUUCUCUGCUUGCAAAAGGACGGGUGAACAAGAAGCUGAAGAUCGCGGUCAGCGAUCAAAGAGGAGAACUAACAUUAAGUAUGUUAUUUCUAAGCAAAAGAAGCUAGAUAGUGGAGCUUUUGAAUGUCACUUUGAGAAAUUAUAGGGAAGCUUUUCUGAAGAUAAGAGGACCUCCUUUACGUACCUUGACUGCUUAUGGUUUUACUUGUAUAUAUAGGAGCGAACCCUAUAAAGCCAAGGUGCUAACAUGGAUUAAGAAGAAGCACAUUUUUUCAAAGAAAUAUGUUUUGGUUCCUAUUAUUUGCUGGCAUCACUGGAGCCUCUUGAUCUUCUGCCACUUUGGUGAGAGCUUGUAAUAAAAAACCAGAACACCAUGCAUGUUAUUGCUGGAUUCGCUCCAAAUGGCAAAUCCAAGGCGGGUUGAACAAGAUAUAAGAAAGUAUGCAUCUAAACAAACCCAGACUCCUUGUUUCAGUAUGGUAGUUUAUUGAUUUUUUGGUUUCGUUCAGGUUUGUGUUGGACAUUUAUAAAGUAGAGGGUAGGCCUGAGAAUGAGGACUUUAUCUAUCGAAUUCCUCUCCUGGUGCCUAAGGUGACCACAAUAUAUGCUCUUGAUUCAUUUCCACUUUAGUGCUAUUGUAUUUUCACUUGUAUUUGCAUCCUGGGAAAAAGUGGAUUUUUUUUUUUGUUCAGGUUCCUCAGCAGACAAGUAAUGAGGAAUGCGGCAGAUUUGUUCUUUACUUUAGCAAAUUGUUCGUGGAAGGCGCUCCGAAGGAUUUUAGAGUUGAGGAUUAUCCU